CCGGGCCGCCAUCUUUACUAGUGGCAACGCGGACGGCCCCGGACGCGCAGGGGCUGCACUGCGCUCUUUGACCAGUAGAAAAAGGCUCUGCGGCAGAAGUUUUAUUUGGGGGUUCUUUUUCCUUUCUGGUGGGUUGUUUUUGCUCAGGUUCGGGGGAUUGUUUGGAGAAGGAAGAAGGCGACGACUCGGGGCUUGGCGCUGAGGGUAGAAUGGACACUGGAUGGAAAGGGUCUGAGAAGGGUUUUAGCUUUGGCUUUAAUAAAACUGCUUGGUUUGCGUUCUCUCGGCGUGCACGGGCCGGGCGGGGGUGCGAUCUGAUUGAAUUUCUGCAGACAGAAGUGAGACUUGCUGCCUGGGCAUCUUGCUCGAGUCGGAGAGCCAUUCUGGAAAGCUCUCCCGAAUACGUCAUUGGUUCUUGCUCGCGCUGUGCGCGGACCCGCCAGCCCGGAAUGAGUUUUUGUUUUUUUAGAACUGUAAAUCAAACAGCCGGGCUGGAGAUUACUUCUCGGCUCCGGAGGCAGUGGCCUGCAGGGGCAAAACUGACCUCACCUGACAGCUACAGAAAAUGAUUUUGAUCAUGUCAGCUUAUUUGCCUUUUUUGGGCAGAUGUUUAUGAUGUUUGUGCAUUUGUCCCCGAUUGCCCUCCCCACUUCAAAAAAAAAAAAAAAAAACCCUGAUUGUCGGACGUGAUAGUUAUUCAGGACUCACUCUCCCCUUUUGUGGAACUAAAGAACAUGUUCCCUGGAUGAUUUAGAGAUUGGGGAAACAGAAGAGGUCGUGGAUGUCAUCGUUUCGCCAGUGGUGUUAGCUUUGUUGGUUUUAUUUGAGCUGCGGAGGUGCAGAUUCAGUGGAUUGUGGAUAUCCAAAGGUAAACCAUCAUUGCCUUCUGCCUAGAAUGAACACUCCCAUUUUAUUGGGUUUAAAUAUAAUGUCAGAGCACUGAGUUCAUGGACAUUGCAGAAGAAAGAAACUUGCAGCUUUGCAUAAUCUCUAUAUAGCAACAACCCCUCCUGCCUGAAGAGCACACAGUACCUCAGUGUUUGGCAGCUGCAGUGCUAGGAGUUGGCCCUUAGCUUGCUGCGAGCACAAGAAGUCUUCCAGAGCCUGGAUUGCUUCUGUGUUGCGAAGAGAAUCAAAUCUCAGAGUUGUGAGGAUUGUAUGCUGUGCAAAUGUGGCAGCACUGUGUAAACUGCAGAACUAUUGACAUAUUGAUAGGCAAUUACUAAUGCAAUAAUUGAGUGCCCAUACUGUCUGGCCUUUUGAGAGGAAGAUUUUCCUUCAGGACUUUCUAUCUCUGGAAAGAGCAAGUGAAUAAAUUCAUAUCCAAAAUAAACCUUA